rnacentral:rRNA from 1 species
CCUACGGGGGGCAGCAGUGGGGAAUAUUGGACAAUGGGCGAAAGCCUGAUCCAGCCAUGCCGCGUGUGUGAAGAAGGCCUUCGGGUUGUAAAGCACUUUCAGUGGGGAAGAAAGCCUUGGGGCUAAUACCCUCGAGGAAGGACAUCACCCACAGAAGAAGCACCGGCUAACUCCGUGCCAGCAGCCGCGGUAAUACGGAGGGUGCGAGCGUUAAUCGGAAUUACUGGGCGUAAAGCGCGCGUAGGCGGUCUGAUAAGCCGGUUGUGAAAGCCCCGGGCUCAACCUGGGAACGGCAUCCGGAACUGUCAGGCUAGAGUGCAGGAGAGGAAGGUAGAAUUCCCGGUGUAGCGGUGAGAUGCGUAGAGAUCGGGAGGAAUACCAGUGGCGAAGGCGGCCUUCUGGACUGACACUGACGCUGAGGUGCGAAAGCGUGGGUAGCAAACAGGAUUAGAUACCCUGGUAGUC